rnacentral:rRNA from 1 species
CCUACGGGUGGCAGCAGUGAGGAAUAUUGGUUAAUGGACGAGAGUCUGAACCAGCCAAGUAGCGUGAAGGAUGACUGCCCUAUGGGUUGUAAACUUCUUUUAUAUGGGAAUAAAAUGUUCCACGUGUGGGAUUUUGUAUGUACCAUAUGAAUAAGGAUCGGCGAACUCCGUGCCAGCAGCCGCGGUAAUACGGAGGAUCCGAGCGUUAUCCGGAUUUAUUGGGUUUAAAGGGAGCGUAGGUGGAUUGUUAAGUCAGUUGUGAAAGUUUGCGGCUCAACCGUAAAAUUGCAGUUGAAACUGGCAGUCUUGAGUACAGUAGAGGUGGGCGGAAUUCGUGGUGUAGCGGUGAAAUGCUUAGAUAUCACGAAGAACUCCGAUUGCGAAGGCAGUUCACUGGACUGCAACUGACACUGAGGCUCGAAAGUGUGGGUAUCAAACAGGAUUAGAUACCCCUGUAGUC